GGGGAGGCGACGCUAGGGAAUAA
rnacentral:miRNA from 1 species